ACGGAAGGCAGCAGUGGGGGAUAUUGCACAAUGGAGGAAACCCUGAUGCAGCAACGCCGCGUGAGGGAAGAAGGUCUUCGGAUUGUAAACCUAAGUUAUCAGGGACGAAACAAAUGACGGUACCUGAAGAGAAAGCUCCGGCUAACUACGUGCCAGCAGCCGCGGUAAUACGUAGGGAGCGAGCGUUGUCCGGAUUUACUGGGUGUAAAGGGUGCGUAGGCGGGCUUGCAAGUCAGGCGUGAAAUCCCGCGGCUUAACUGCGGGGCUGCGCUUGAAACUGUAGGUCUUGAGUGAGGUAGAGGCAAGCGGAAUUCCCAGUGUAGCGGUGAAAUGCGUAGAUAUUGGGAGGAACACCAGUGGCGAAGGCGGCUUGCUGGGCCUUAACUGACGCUGAGGCACGAAAGUAUGGGGAGCAAACAGGAUUAGAUACCCUGGUA
rnacentral:rRNA from 1 species